ensembl:lncRNA
CCAGCUCAUCAGUUGUCUAUGAUCUGCCAUAGCUCCUUGCUUUUGGGACGCUACAGACUGAACUCUUGUCCAUUUCUUGUUUAUAGUUUGUAGUGUUCUGGCCCUGAACCAUGUACAGAUAGCAAGAAGCAAAGUAUCAGGAUGUAAAAAGUAUGCAGGUAUACUAGUGAAAGAGUAUGCAGGUAUACUUGUGAAAGAUGUAAAGAGUACGCAGGUAUACUAGUGAAAGAGUACGCAGGUAUAGUAGUGAAAGAUGUAAAGAGUACACAGGUAUACUAGUGAAAGAGUAUGCAGGUAUACUAGUGAAAGAUGUAAAGAGUAUGCAGGUAUACUAGUGAAAGAUGUAAAGAGUAUGCAGGUAUAGUAGUGAAAGAGUACGCAGGUAUACUAGUGAAAGAUGUAAAGAGUACGCAGGUAUACUAGUGAAAGAUGUUAAGAGUACACAGAUAUACUAGUGAAAGAUGUAAAGAGUAUGCAGGUAUAGUAGUGAAAGAGUACGCAGGUAUACUAGUGAAAGAUGUUAAGAGUACACAGAUAUACUAGUGAA